CCUCUGCCACCUGCCUGCUGUGGGAUCUUGGGCCAGUUGCUUCGCUGCUCUGUGCCUUAGUUUGCCCCUCUAUAAAAUGGAGAUUAAAUACUUGUUUUCCCUCUCCCCUUUGACAGGACUGUGUCCAACCCGAUGGACACAUGGCCCUACCGCUUGGCCAUGGAAGGCACUUAACAAAUACCACAAUCAUUAUUAUUUACAGAAAUGGCGAAGGCCCAGGCUUAAACUCAAGCUCCUUUCAAGUCGUGGUUUUACCGGAUCUCAUCAUUCAAGGCAACUAUUCUGAGCUGUGAUUCUAGGGGCUUAUGCCUUGUCAGCAAGUCUGAGUCAGCACGGGAAAGAAAAUUAGGUAAAACACCUUAAUUAUUCAGUAACUGCUGCAGCCUCUGCAAGUGAAUGGUUGUCAUUCUGCCCUUGAGGCGAGUGCUUUCUUCUCUUAAGGCCUGGACCGUCCUCCCUCCUGCAGGGUCCAGUAGCCAGUCUUGAUCUGUGUGAGGGGUUUGGGUAGCCAGCUGUGACCUUGUCGGAACAGACCCCGUCCUCCAUUUUCCUUUCAUCUCUCUUCACCAAAUGGGAAAGUAGCUCUCUAGCACUUGCAUAAAUAUAAUAGCAUUCUAUCACUCUAUUAUUAUUCUAUUCAUAUAAUAAUGUUGGUAUUUGUUAAGCGCUUACUAUAUGCAGAGCACUGUUCUAAGCGCUGGGGUAGACACAGGGGAAUCAGGUUGUCCCACAUGAGGCUCAAAGUCUUCAUCCCCGUUUUUUUACAGAUGAGGGAACUGAGGCACAGAGAAGUAAAGUGACUUGCCCACAGUCACACAGCUGACAGGUGGCAGAGCUGAGAUUCGAACCCAUGACCUCUGCCUCCCAAGCCCAGGCUCUUUCCACUGAGCCACGCUGCUUCUCUAAUAUAUUACUAUGGUAUGUAAUAUAAUAUUACUUAUUCCAUUCUAUUACUCUUUCCUCUCUACAAUAGAUUUUAAUAUCUGCCUCCUCACUCUUGUUUGCUCCUUGAAGGCAGGGAUUAUAUCCGUUUCCUGAACCACGUGGCCUAGAAGGCAGAGCGUCGGUCUGGAAGUCAGAGGACUUGGGUUCUAAUUCUGACUCUGCCACUUGCUGGCUGUGGAUGACCUUAGGCAGGUCACCUCACUUCUCUGCGCUUCAGUUUUCUCCUCAGUAAAAGUGGGGAUUCAUCCGUUCUCCAUCCUCGUUAGAUUGCGAGCCCCCAUAUAGGAUAAAGAUGUUGUUUGAUCUGCUUAUGGUGUAUCUACAACAGUGCUUGGCACACAGUAAGUACUUAACAAAUACCAUAAUUACUAAUAGUAAUCCUAUUGAAGUUUCCCAAGUGCUUAGUACGGAGUUCUGCACGUAAUAGAUACUCAUUAAAUUCUACUGUUGGAUCAAGUCAGCCGAGUCCUCGUUUCAUGCUCUGUUCAUAGCACAGCUGUCUUCCGUUCAGUGAUGGACCUGGGGUUUUUUUCCUAAUGGAAAAUCUGGGUCCCUUUGCAUUCCAUAAAGGGAUAUUUCUUUGUUUCACCGGUAUUUGUUAAGUGCUUACUAAGUGCCAGGCAAAGCACUGGGGUAAAUACUAGAUAAUCAGUUUGGACACAGUCAGCGUCCCACGUGGGACUCACGGUCUUAUUCCCCAUCUUACAGAUGAAGUAACUGAGGCACCGAGAAGUUAAGAGACUUACCCAGGCUCCCACAGCCGAAAAAUGGAGGAGCCAGAUUUGGAACCCAGGUCCCUGUGACUCCCAAUUCCAUGUUCCAUCCGCUAAGCUAAGCUACGCCGCUUCUCAUUUGGUUGCUGAUCUACCACCUGGAGGAAGAGGGAAGCCACUAUCUGCCUCCAAUAAUCUCCAAACCAAUUUGGGAGGUGAGACUCUUAACCCUUUAGCAACCACUUCUAAAAUCUGAUAAUUAAAGUACCGGACACCGUGCUAAACACUGGUGAAUAAAGAGGUUAUCAGAUUGGACCCGGUCCCUACCCCACUCAAGGUUUACAAGCUAAGAAGGGGCCUUAUCCCCAUUUUACAGGCUCAGAAGGGAUAAGUGAUUUGCCCACGGUCACCUAGCUGGGCUCUAGGCACAGCUGGGAUUAGAACCCUGGCAUCCUGACUCCCAGCUCCACUAGGCCACUGGACGGUGGUUCGGUAUUUCUUUUUCCAUUUGAUUUGAUUUUUCUGGAGGAGUUGGUUGGCUGCCGGAAAGAAGCGGUCACAACGAAAUCCUUUCCCACUUAAUCCCGGUGCUUAAAGUCUCAUUACACAAGACCAUCACAAUUCCUGGCAUGUCAGCCUUCAUUACUUAUUUAUAAGGACUGAUUUAAUGUGAUCUAAUGUGAUUUAGUGUGUCAUAGGCAAGCGACUCAGCGAGCCAAGUUGCUCUAUUGUUUUUGGACGGUGAGCACUGAAUGCAGAAGUAGGCAAGAAUGCUUAGCGUCCUUUACCCCAAGUGAAGGGAGAGUCCCAAGGAUUCUUGCCCGCUUUGUGAUCUCCCCCAGGAAAUCAAAAUGCAAGAAGAAAAAUCUGGCCCAAGAAAGAAGAAAACGGGCAAGUCCCCGCCGUUCUUGAGAAUGGAAUAAUAAUAAUAAUGUUGGUAUUUGUUAAGCGCUUACUAUGUGCAGAGCACUGUUCUAAGCGCUGGGGUAGACACAGGGGAAUCAGGUUGUC
rnacentral:lncRNA from 1 species